AAACAAAUUCUGAUAUACCUAUACAAUGGAAUACUACUCAGCAAUCAAAACAGAACUAUUGAUCGUACAACAUGGAUGAAUCUUGAAAAUACUGUAUUGAACAAAAGAGGCCAGACACAAAGGAAUACAUACUGCAUCUCUCACUUCUAUGAAGUUCAUUGAGCAAAACAGGGAUUUUCUACUAAUCAGGUGAAUAAAUUGUCUUCAUGGACUUGACCCCGAAGGGAUGAGGACCUGCUCAGCCGUAGGUGCCUAUAGGUGUUGCUACUUUGGGCGGCCAGACAGUAGCCCUAGACAGUAGGGUCCUCAACCACGGCAGGCACCGGUGUAGGAGCGACCUCAGGGGCACAGCCCUCCGCUCACACGAGGGCCACAUGCGUGAAGGGCCAGCCAAGCCACCACCCGUGCAAAAGCUGAUGAGUUCCAUGAGAAACCUUUGCAUUAAAAAUAAACUUCCAAGGAGAAAAACAAAAGCUGUUUCCUCAAGCUGGGCAAAGGUGAGCAAUUCCUGGAAAGUUAACCGCCUCAAAUGCUAAUUUGAAUUUCAAAGGGUAGUAGCUCCGGGGUGAGAGGCUCUCUGGGGCCCUGCCGCAGGGCCGCCUCCCUCAGUCCGUCUCCUGCCCACUCGCAGGAGCUGAGACCACUUUACAGACUAUCUCAGUUUUACAGAAAAGAGGAAAUGAGGUGAAUUUCGUGUGCUCAAGUGGUUAGGAAUGUCGGAGGUGCUUCCUUGGAAAAGAGCAAAAUACAACAAAACUGAAAGCCCCAAAGAAGAAUCUCUAUAAAUAAAUGUUUGUGACUGAUCAUGGCA